AUGUCCUCUCAUAGGGAAACCCGUCGGGCAUUACAUGUAAUCCCCGUGGGUGUAGGAAAAACCGUCGGGCUUUACGAUCAACCGUCGGGCAUUAAGUUGGAUAACCGAGGGAUUUCACCGUCGGAAAUACGGCCAGGCAGGCUGCGCAGCACAGUCCGAUCCGUCGGAUCCUCCGAAUGUAAAUGCAACGCUGCUGCCUGGGGUUUCCGUGGAUUGGCCGAGUAUGUCGAGGUCGUAGCAGUUGGGCACGGUGUGAACGGUGUUGUCGAGAGUGUCGGGGAAGGGGUUUCCGACGAGAGCCCAUCUUCCCUCUGUGACAAAUGCCGCAACGGAUCAGCCCAUCCACGAUCGAUCGCUAAUCACCCCGCAUUAACAAAACCGAUCGCCCGCACGACCUCCACCUUCUCCUCCCGCACGACCUCCUCCUCCUCCCGCGUCGUUCGCCUCCCGCAGCCUCGCGCCGAGCCACGGGAAGCUGCGCCCUUCACCGCCGCCUCACGCCGCCGGAGCCACGGGAAGCCGCCGCAGCCGCCGCCCGUCGUGCGCCGGGGGAGCCCCGCCGCAGGAACCCGGCACCCCCUCGCCUCUCCAGUGCCUGCCUCGCCUCCCUCACGCGAACCUGCUCUACGCGCCGCCCCUCAUCCUCGGCGGCGAGAGGUACGCGGGAGCUGCCGCCGCCGCCGCUGCCAGGGGCGUGGACGCGUGUGGGCCUACUGUCGGCGUACGAGGUCGCGCCUGAGCCUGCGGCACGGUGGCGCGGGGCCCUCCGCCGCCAGUUCCCUGCUGGUUCGAGAUCCCCCAUUGCUCUCCUGCCUUCCGUCGUUGGUCUUCCUGCUACCAGCCCCGCCCUUCUCCGCCCUAUCUCCAAGACAACGUUCUGCUCCAUCCGUUGAAGAAGAAGUCUCUGACCGCCACACACCUGUCGUCGACCAGCACAUCAGAUUUAUUCCAAGUGAUUCUCCAGAUUUGUCCCCUCGGAGUAGUCAAUUCUUUGUUGUAGACAAGAUGAUUUUAGAAGAAGAGAUUGGUGGUGUUAAAGGACAUUUUGGACCAAUCAAUGAAUUAGCAUUUAAUCCUGAUGGGAGGAGAUUUAAAGGUGACCUCGUCAAAGCAUUGUUUAGCAAAAAGAACACUGCAGCUAAUCCAUGGAUCGCUAACCUGCCCCGCCUUAAAACAAAAACCGCUGCCCGCACGACCGCACGACCUCUCGCCCUAUCCUCCUCGUCUCGCACCGUCGCCGCCCCGUCGUUCCUCCCGCAGCCUCGUGCCGCCCGCUGCGCCCUUCGCCGCCUCCCGCAGCCGUGCCCUUCGCCGCGGGAGCCGCUGCCGCAGGUCGCUGCGGGUCGCCCCGCGGGAGCCGCCGCGCCCUUAGCCCGCCGCCGAAGCCGCCCGACCGCCCAGCUUGGCGUCCGCCCCGCCGCCCGCCGUUCCUUUUCUGCUUCCCGACGGCCUAAUGCAAUGGCUCUUUUCUCUGAUGAUGUUCACGUCGCCCAAGCCCCAUUUACAAGAGCCGCCAUGGGCACUCUGGUUGGCAACAGCUUCUUCACCUCUUCUCUGAUUUCUACUCACUUUGUUGUUCUGCACUUUGAAUUGACAGUGUCCAAAAGGUGGCUAUGUGCACAUAAAUCAGUCAAGGAGCAGGCUUCAUUGAAGAGUGAUCCAGAACUAACCUGCUACGCUACUGCUCGCCUACCCCCGCAGCUAGCCUACCCGCCGCUGCUCGCCUACGCGAGGUGUUCGACGGAAAAUUCCCUUCAAGGACGGCAUCACGUGGGCGACCAUGGUGUCUGCAUCCCGCCAGUUCGCGCCCUCCAUAUGCCUGGAAAUUGCUGCUCCAACAGUACUAGAUUAGUUGUUCUAGCUUCUUUAGGCUGUAACCAUUUGAAGGCUGCUCAUGUUCAAAUUCUUCAGCGUUUUGUACACAUGAAAGUUCCAUUCAAUCUUCCUUUUCUUUUUGGAUCCAAAGUAGAGGAGAUCAUAUGUUUAAUCUGCUUCUCGCACGACUGCCGAAGCGAAGCCGCCGCCGCCCUGCCUGCGGCUCUAAGCGGCGCCUACAGGCCGCCGGCCGCCCCUCAGACUUUCAACCUCGAUCUGCACGUACACACCAGCUGGCCCGGUCGGGUCGCCGUUUGGGUCGCCGUUCCUAAGGGAAAAAAGACACGGGCCACUCAUCAAGCCCUAGCCCGCCCCCUCGUCCCCUUCCUCUGCUACAGGGAGCAGGGGGAUCGUGGCGCCAUCUCCCCCUCGCGAUGGACGCCCCCUGGACACAAGUUGUCCAACCCCGCGUCCCCGGCGUCUACAAAACCGCCCCCUCUCCAUCUCGCACGAACCCUAGCCCUCAUUCUCUUCUCCCUCACGCCGUUUUUCUUCCUCCGCGCGACAAGCCGAAGCUCCGUCGCCAUGGCCGUCGCCAACCUCGCACCCAUCGUCAUCCCCGCCACCUAG
rnacentral:rRNA from 1 species